rnacentral:RNase_P_RNA from 2 species
GGCAGAGGAAGCUCAUCAGUGGGGUCACUGUAUAGAGUGCUUCCCUCUGGGAAGCUUCUGAGCCUAGGGCCUCCCACAGCCCUAAUCAGGCCUCUCCUUGAACUGGUAGGCAAGUGUCCAGAGAGCAGGGCCCUGCACCAGCAGGAGAGGCCCAGUUUGGGCAAUGUUCCCUUACUGGAGCUUGGAAGAGACUAUCACCCAGCACAGUGGGUUCAAUGGGUGAAGUGAGGCACAUCCUGGGCCUCACAACCCAAUUCUGAUUACUCCUCCCAACC